rnacentral:rRNA from 1 species
AAAUAUUUAUUUGAUUAUAUUUUUAAAUAUUAAUUUUAUUGAAAUUUUAUUUGAUUUGUUUAUUAUUAAUUUUUAAACCAAUAAGUUUUCUUUAGUUUACUUUACUGAAAAGGUUAAUAAAAUUUUUUUAAAAAAAAGAAUAUUUUUUUAUAGUACCUUUUGUAUCAGGGUUAAUUAAUUUUUUAAAUAAAUUUUUUUUUCUCGAAUAUUCAUGAUUUAAAUUAAUUUGUUUUUUUAUGUUGAAUAAUUAAUUAAAAAAAUUAGUUUGGUUUUGAAAUGAAAUUUCGUUUGAGUUAAUAUCUAGUUAACUAAGAUUUUAAUUUAAUUAAGGAUUUCUUUUUAAUUUUUUAUUUUUUUUUAUUAUAUUGAAUUCUAAUUUUAAGGGGGAUAAUCUCAUUAAAUUUUUAUAAUUUAUUAAUUAAAAUAUUUUUUUUAGGUUUAGAAUUUGCCUUAAUUAUAAGUUUGUAAAAAAUUAAAGUAUUUUAUUAAAUGAAAUUUAUUUUUUUAUUAGUUUUUUAUUAGAAAUUUUUUUUUUAUUAAUAAUGAUUAAAUUAGUAAAUUAUAUUAAAAUUAAUUAUAUGAAUUCGGCAAAUUGUUUUUCACCUGUUUAACAAAAACAUGUCUUUAAGGUUUUAUUUUAAGUCGGGCCUGCUCAGUGAAUUUUAUUUAACAGCCGCGGUAUUUUAACUGUGCUAAGGUAGCAUAAUAAUUAGUCUUUUAAUUGAGGUCUAGAAUGAAUGGUUUAAUGAAAGAACAACUUUAUUUAAUUAAUUUAAAUUGAAAUUUAUUUUUGAUUUAAAAAGAUCAAAUUAUUUUGAGUGACGAUAAGACCCUAUAGAUCUUAAAAAUUGUAUUUAUUUUUUUUUUAGUUUGUUUUAAAAAUUGUAAAUUAAUAAUUUUUUUAUUGGGGUGAUAAUUAAAAUAUUAAACUUUAAUUUUUUAAAACAAUUUUUUUUGAUUUUUUUGAUCCUUAAUUUUGGAUAAUAAGAAAAAGAUACCUUAGGGAUAACAGCGUAAUAUAUUUGGAGAGUUCUUAUCAAUAAAUGUGAUUGCGACCUCGAUGUUGGAUUAAUUUUAAGUUGUGGGGUAGGUUUUACAAUUUUAGGUCUGUUCGACCUUUAAAAAGUUACAUGAUCUGAGUUCAGACCGGCGUGAGCCAGGUUGGUUUCUAUCUUCAUUUAUUUUUAAUUAGUACGAAAGGACUUUUAAAUUAUAAAAUUUAUUA